rnacentral:misc_RNA from 1 species
CGCAUAUUGCGCCCUUUGGUAUUCCGAGGGGCAUGCCUGUUCGAGCGUCAUUUACACUCUCAAGCUUUGCUUGGUAUUGGAGGUCGCCCCGGUGGGGUGUCCCCGAAACUCAGCGGCGACGUAGCCGGACUCCCUGGCGUAGUGACAUUUUUCCACCGCCCCGGAGUUGUCGGUCUUGCGUUAGCCGGACAACGCCCCCUAUUUUUUAAAAUCGACCUCGGAUCAGGCAGGAUUACCCGCUGAACUUAA